CCGCCCCCUGCGCCGCCCCCUCCGAGGCUAAAUCGGCUGCGUUCCUCUCGGAACGCGCCGCAGAAGGGGUCCUGGUGACGAGUCCCGCGUUCUCUCCUUGAAUCCACUCGCCAGCCCGCCGCCCUCUGCCGCCGCACCCUGCACACCCGCCCCUCUCCUGUGCCAGGAACUUGCUACUACCAGCACCAUGCCCUACCAAUAUCCAGCACUGACCCCGGAGCAGAAGAAGGAGCUGUCUGACAUCGCUCACCGCAUCGUGGCACCUGGCAAGGGCAUCCUGGCUGCAGAUGAGUCCACUGGUGCGGGCAGGAGACAGAAUGGGUGGAGGGUGCAGGGUUGGGAGUGGCAGGCUGAUCCCUAAUUCCCAUGUGACACUCCCAGGGAGCAUUGCCAAGCGGCUGCAGUCCAUUGGCACCGAGAACACCGAGGAGAACCGGCGCUUCUACCGCCAGCUGCUGCUGACAGCUGACGACCGCGUGAACCCCUGCAUUGGGGGUGUCAUCCUCUUCCAUGAGACACUCUACCAGAAGGCGGAUGAUGGGCGUCCCUUCCC
rnacentral:sRNA from 1 species